AUUGAACGCUGGCGGCAGGCUUAACACAUGCAAGUCGAGCGAGCGGCGGACGGGUGAGUAAUGUCUGGGAAACUGCCUGAUGGAGGGGGAUAACUACUGGAAACGGUAGCUAAUCCCGCAUACCAUCAGAUGUACCCAGAGGGGAUUAGCUAGUAGGUGGGGUAAUGGCUCACCUAGGCGACGAUCCCGAGCUGGUCUGAGAGGAUGCCAAGCCACACUGGAACUGAGACACGGUCCAGACUCCUACGGGAGGCAGCAGUGGGGAAUAUUGCACAAUGGGCGAAAGCCUGAUGCAGCCAUGCCGCGUGUGUGAAGAAGUCCUUCGGGUUGUAAAGCACGUUCAGCGAGGAGGCGUUACUCGCAGAAGAAGCACCGGCUAACUCCGUGCCAGCCGCGGCGGUAAUUC
rnacentral:rRNA from 1 species